GGGAAGGUAGCUCAGAGGUAGAGCGGCGUUGUAUGCGCGGGUCGCCGGUUCGAAUCCGGCCCUUCCCU
rnacentral:tRNA from 1 species